UACGUAGGGGGCAAGCGUUGUCCGGAAUUAUUGGGCGUAAAGCGCGCGCAGGCGGUUGUUUAAGUCUGGGGUUUAAGUUCGGGGCUCAACCCCGUAUCGCCCUGGAAACUGGGGGAACUGGAGUGUAGGAGAGGAAAAGUGGAAUUCCACGUGUAGCGGUGAAAUGCGUAGAGAUGUGGAGGAACACCAGUGGCGAAGGCGGCGCACUGGACCACAACUGACGCUGAGGCGCGAAAGCUAGGGGAGCAAACAGG
rnacentral:rRNA from 1 species